rnacentral:rRNA from 1 species
AUUGAACGCUGGCGGCAUGCUUUACACAUGCAAGUCGAACGGUAACAGGGAGCUUGCUCCGCUGACGUGUGGCGAACGGGUGAGUAAUAUAACGGAACGUACCCAAGUGUGGGGGAUAACGUAGAGAAAGUUACGCUCAUACCGCAUACGAUCUAAGGCUGUAAGCAGGGGACCUUCGGGCCUUGUGCUCCUGGAGCGGCCGAUAUCUGAUUAGCUAGUUGGUGAGGUAAAGGCUCACUAAGGCGAUGAUCAGUAGCUGGUCUGAGAGGACGACCAGCCACACUGGAACUGAGACACGGUCCAGACUCCUACGGGAGGCAGCAGUGGGGAAUUUUGGACAAUGGGCGCAAGCCUGAUCCAGCAAUGCCGCGUGAGUGAAGAAGGCCUUCGGGUUGUAAAGCUCUUUUGUCAGGGAAGAAACGGCUGUGGCUAAUAUCCACGGCUAAUGACGGUACCUGAAGAAUAAGCACCGGCUAACUACGUG